CAGGAAGAUGCCUCCCCACCUCAUUAUUUUGAAGAGAGGACAGUGAUAACUUCAAAGUUAUACUUCUCCAGGACUACUCAUGAUUCGUGGACAGAAGUUUCACCAUGAAAAGUGACAAAGUUCUGGGCAUGUCUGGAAGAAGCUUUUAAAUUGGAUUGAGGUGGGAAGACGCCCCCCCCCCCUUGAAUGUGGGAAUCACUCUUCCAUGGGAUGAGGUCCUAAAAGGAAUAAAAUGGAGAAGUGAAUCAGUAUUCAACCUUCACAUCUCGAUGGCAGACGUAAGGACAGGAUGAGAUCACUUUGAAAAAUCCACCACGAGGUGGCAGUAAAGAGAAAUCUAUGGCAUCUUAUCUUGGAGAGUUUAUGGGAAAGGUUACAAGUCCGGCUCCUUUGAAGAAUUACAAACGCACCU